rfam:Schistosoma rodhaini strain Burundi genome assembly, scaffold: SROB_scaffold0009294
ACUCAGUUCACGAGUACCAAAUAGAACGAAACGCGCGUCCUGGAU